CAGCAGUAGCCGCGGUAAUACAGAGGGUGCGAGCGUUAAUCGGAUUUACUGGGCGUAAAGCGUGCGUAGGCGGCUUCUUAAGUCGGAUGUGAAAUCCCUGAGCUUAACUUAGGAAUUGCAUUCGAUACUGGGAAGCUAGAGUAUGGGAGAGGAUGGUAGAAUUCCAGGUGUAGCGGUGAAAUGCGUAGAGAUCUGGAGGAAUACCGAUGGCGAAGGCAGCCAUCUGGCCUAAUACUGACGCUGAGGUACGAAAGCAUGGGGAGCAAACAGGAUUAGAUACCCGCGUAGUCCCUGUCUCUUAUAC
rnacentral:rRNA from 1 species